UACGUAGGGGGCAAGCGUUGUCCGGAAUCAUUGGGCGUAAAGAGCGCGUAGGCGGUCCGAUAAGUCGGUUGUGAAAACUGGGGGCUCAACCCUCAGAGGCCGACCGAUACUGUCGGGCUAGAGUCCGGAAGAGGCGAGUGGAAUUCCUGGUGUAGCGGUGAAAUGCGCAGAUAUCAGGAGGAACACCAAUGGCGAAGGCAGCUCGCUGGGACGGUACUGACGCUGAGGCACGAAGGCCAGGGGAGCAAACGGG
rnacentral:rRNA from 1 species